rnacentral:lncRNA from 10 species
CUGGUAAGAAACUGAAUGCCUUUCUCCUGAGAUCAGGAACACAACAAGGAUAUCCUUUCUUGCCACUUCCAUUCAACAUUGCAGUGAAGGUCAUACAAUUCCAGGUUGCUCACAGACCCCCUCUAGGAGAUGUUACUGUCGCUCAUUCGUAUUUCCGGUUCUACUCCUCUUCCGGGCACACUGGAGAAUUACACUUCCUUGCUGACUUGAGAUAAGUCACAGCUUUGGCCAAUGAAGUGUGAAUGGAAGUUUUCAGAACCUUUAAGAGCCUGUACGCAAUUUGCCAUGCUUUCUCUUUUUGCUUUGUCACCAAAACCUCUGUGUUCCAGAUAGUGACUACUCUGUCUGCGUGGGUCCUGGAGAGAGGAGGAUGCAGAGCACAGCACUUAGCCAACCUGCAAUGGACACGUAGAAUCCUCCUUACUGUCUUGUGUUCAAUGCUGAAGACCUGGUGUCCAUGCCUAACAUAACCUGAAGGUGCCUCUUGAAUGGAUCACAUUUGGCUUUCCUUAUGUCCUUGCUCACUAUCAUGGCUACCACGAGAGCCAAGGCAACCCACAGAGAUGGACUUGAAGUGAGAAAUCUACUCUGACCUUUGCCAGAACAUCCAGCUCAGAUUUUGGCCUAGAAAACUUCUAAAAUCAUCAGGAGAUAUCACUGAAAAGGUUUCAAAACAAAGCCAUAAUCUCUAGAAAUGUGUCCUUGAUGGGUUGGUCUUCAUUUGCCUGAAGCCACCAACUGAUAGCUACAAAACUGCACUUCCUAGAGACAUGUUGAGAGAGGUUCAAGGCUCAACAGAACUUACCCUUUUGCUGUCAGAGCUCCACCACCAGAUAAGCACAACUGAGCGAAUGACACCAACCAGUGCCAAGAGAAGCAGGACUACCCAACUACACUUUGCCUAAAUUCCUGAUUCACAGAAUUAUAAGCAAAUAAAAUGAUUGUUUAAAGCACUAAGUUUUGGGUUCAUUUGUUAUGCGGCAAUAAAGAAUCAAAACACCUGGAACCCAGUUCCCUUCUCUUUUAUUACCCACAUGGUCUCUCUCCUGUAGUGUCGCUGUUUUUCCUGACUAGCUUUCUCAUCCUGCUGUUACACCCUUACUAGGAAUUUCUCUCAGCAAUAUCCAGUUAAAAUUCCGGAAGGGAAUAGGCUGGUUGGCUUUGCUCAUUGUCUCACUUUUCUUGGGCAGAACCUUUUGUACCAAUCCAUUUCAUCAGCAUUUUUAUGGGUGAAUCUUAGUUGACCAGGUACCGACUCUCGUCAAAUUACUGUCUGACUCUACACAAGAAAUAUACAAAGAGCCUGGUGCUGCUUUCCUGAGCAGGACAGUUCAUAGGGACAUUGAGCAUGGUUGGCAUCUAACCUGGUUAUUCUGAAGAUUUCAUGAUUAAAUCCUCAGUCCUAUGAAUUAACCAAUUGUCCAGUGUUAAAAUACAGACACCCCCUGCACACAUGAAACUGCUCAUCAAUUGUUUAAACUUUAACAUAUGUAAAAGGUGUCCAGUAGGAGCUAGCUGAAUCUGAGCAUUAAUGCUGGAAAAGGAGGAGGAGGCCUGAGAUCUUUGGCUGCUUGGUAGAGUAAAGGUGGUAGAAAGAAGUCAACAAGAACUUAAAGGAAAGAUCAAAGGACAGUGAAAGAACAUUUUUCCUAGUUUUGCCUAGAGCAGGCUUUUGAUUAAAGGUAGAGUGCUGACUCUCUAAAGAUAGAUAUCUAAAAGGAUUCUUCUAGAUACAUGAGAGCACAGGAAAGAUUGUGCAAGGGCAUAAAUAUGAGCAUACUAUAGUGAUUAAGACCAUGUGACAUUAAAGGAAGAGGAAGAUGGAAAAAAAGGUACAUGAAGAAUAUAAACAAGAGGUUGGUGCCUAGAAAAAGAGGAAGAUAGUAGAAAGUUUGGGAAGUAUAGAAAGUAUAAGAUCCUUUAGGAGUUGUUCUUUAUAUACUACUAUUUGCUAAACUUCAAUGUUUAAAAUUCAGCAUUUGUAGAGCAAGCGUAGGUAUACAGCUAUUAUUAAAUUCUAAUAUGUAAUGGUCUGUAUACUUCCAGAAGCUUUCAGAGUUUUGAAUUGAUAUUCCAUUAUAAAUUUUUUAGGAAUUCACCAUUUGUAAUGCACAUGUCUAGUGAUAAUUCUUUCCCUCAGCCCCACCCCCCAGAUCUUUAUAUGUCUGGUAAUUUCUCAUCAUUCAGGCUUUCGUUGAAACGGAAAUGCCUCAGAAAGCCUUUUGCUUUCUUAACCAUCCUUGGCAAGAAGAAUUCCAUGAUGGACCCUCCAGGUUCCUAGCCUUGAUAUACACACAUCUCUCAGUUAUUCAGUAAAACACACUAAUGUAGCUAUUGCUGUAAAGGAAGUAUGGAGAUGAAAUCAAGGUCCCAAAUCUAUUGACCUUUAAAUAAAGAGAUUAACCGGGUGGAACUGACCAAGUCAUAUGAGCCCUUUAAAAUAAAUUUUCUCAACCACAGUGAGAUACGACCUCAUAGCUGUUACAACGGCUAUAUCAAAGAGACAAGAGAGGCUGGGCAUGGUGGCUCACGCCUAUAAUCCCUGCACUUUGGGAGGCAGAGGAGGGUGGGUUACUUGAGGUCAGGUGUUUGAGACCAGCCUGGCCAACAGGCUGAAAGCCCGUCUCUACUAAAAAUACAAAAAUUAACCUGGCAUGGUGGAGGGCAUCUGUAAUCCCAGCAACUCAGCUGAGGCAGAAUAAUUGCUUAAACCCAAGAGAUGGAUGUUGCAGUGAGCCAAAACCACACCACAGCCCUUCAGCCUGGGCAACAGAGUGAGACUCCAUCUUAAAAAAAAAAAAAACAAGAGAUAACAAGUUCAGCUAAUUUAAUGUAUAGCAUGCCAAUUAUAAUUAAUAACAAUGUAACAUACACUUGGAAAUUGCUAAAAGAGUCGAUUUCAAUGUCCUCACCCCAAACAAAUAAUAUGUGAGGUAGUAGAUAUGUUAAUUAGCUUGAUUUUGUCAUUUCACAAUGUGUACAUAUAUCAAAAUAUAUUGUACACCAUAAAUAUAUACAAUUUUUAUUUAUUCAUUUAAAAAUAAGUAAAAAUAAAAAUGGGGCUUAUACUUUAAGAAAUUGAUUUUGGCCAGGCACAGUGGCUCACGCCUGUAAUCCCAGCACUUUGGGAGGCCGAGGUGGGUGGAUCACCUGAGGUCUGGAGUUCGAGACCAGCUUAGCCAACAUGGUGAAACCCCAUCUCUGAUGAAAAUAUAAAAAAUGAGCUGGGUGUGGUGGAAGGCUCCUAUAAUCCCAGCUACCUGAGAGGCUGAGGCAGGAGAAUCACUUGAAGCGGGGUGGUGGAGGUUGCAGUGAGUCGAGAUCGCAUCAUUGCACGCCAGCCUGGGCAACAGGAGCAAAACUCUGCUCAAAAAAAGAAAAAAGAAAAAAGAAAAAAAAAAACUUGAUUUUAUCUGGCUGUUUGAAGAAGUCAGAGAUGUGAAGUUUGUGACGGUUAUCACAUGCCAUUGCUGACAAAGAUGGAGGAAUUCAAGGAAUGUGGCAGGCUACUGGAGCCCAGGGUAGCCCUUGGCUAACAGCCAGCAAGGAGCAAGGAUCUCAGUCCUACAACUACAAGGAACUGGAUUCUGCCAGUAACAGCAAUGAGCUUGGAAGCAGAGUUUUUAUUUCAGCCUUGUGAGACCCUGAGCAGAGAACCCAGCAAUACCAUGCCAGACUUCUGAUCUACAAAGCAGUAUAUAAUAAAUGAGUGUUUUUUAAAUGGCUGAGUUCAUGAUAAUUUGUUACAUAGCAACAGAAAACUAAUUUACCAUCCUAAUCUAAAAUAAGACCCCAUAAUCACACUCCAGUCAUUAUUAUACAUUAGUUUGUUUUUCUUUCUUCAAAAAUAUAUAUAAUAAUUUAUGUAUUAUAUAUAAAACAUAAAAUUAAUAUUUAUUUGCUUGCUUGCUUGCUAAAUAUCUCUUCCCUAAUAUUAUAUUAGACAAUAAGCUUAGUGAGGGAACGUAAAAGGUACCCAAUCAAUAUUUACUUAAAAAAAGAUAAAUGCCUACAUUUAAACAAAUAUUUUUCAAAAAAAGGUUAAUCAAAUCUCAGAGAUACCAUCCCCCCCAAAAAAUUUUUUAAAUAUGUCUUCUAGGCCAGGCGCAGUGGCUCACACCUGUAAUCCCAGCACUUGGGGAGGCUGAGGUGGAAGGACUGCCUGAGUCCAGGAGUUCAAGACCAACCUAGGCAACAUGUUGAGACUCCAUCUCAUAAAAUAAAUUUGUUUUUUAAAGUGUCUUCUGGCCGGGCGCGGUGGCUUACGCCUGUAAUCCCAGCACUUUGGGAGGCCGAGGCGGGCG